CCCUUAGAUGUUCUGGGCCGCACGCGCGCUACACUGAUGCAUUCAACGAGUCUAAAACCUGCUCUGAUAGGGGUGGGUAAUCUUUUGAAUGUGCAUCGUGAUUGGGAUAGAUGAUUGCAAUUUUUCAUCUUCAACGAGGAAUGCCUAGUAAACGCAAGUCAUCAGCUUGCAUUGAUUACGUCCCUGCUCUUUGUACACACCGCCCGUCGCUCCUACCGAUUGAAUGAUCCGAUGAAUAUCAUGGAUUGAGGAUGUAAGCAGGUUCGCCUGUCUUCAUCUUCGAGAAGUGAAGUAAAUCUUAUCAUUUAGAGGAAGGAGAAGUCGUAACA
rnacentral:rRNA from 1 species